rnacentral:rRNA from 1 species
UACGUAGGGGUCUAGCGUUGUCCGGAAUUAUUGGGCGUAAAGAGCUCGUAGGCGGUUCGGCAAGUCGGAUGUGAAAUCUCCACGCUUAACGUGGAGGGGCCAUUUGAAACUGCCGUGACUCGAGUCCGGUAGGGGAGUUCGGAAUUCCCGGUGUAGCGGUGAAAUGCGUAGAGAUGUGGAGGAAUACCGAUGGCGAAGGCAGCCCCCUGGGAUAACACUGACGCUCAUGCACGAAAGCGUGGGGAGCAAACAGG